rnacentral:rRNA from 1 species
AUUGAACGCUGGCGGCAUGCCUUACACAUGCAAGUCGAACGGCAGCACGGGGGCAACCCUGGUGGCGAGUGGCGAACGGGUGAGUAAUAUAUCGGAACGUACCCGGAAAUGGGGGAUAACGUAGCGAAAGUUACGCUAAUACCGCAUAUGCCCUAAGGGGGAAAGCGGGGGAUUCGCAAGAACCUCGCGUUUUCGGAGCGGCCGAUAUCGGAUUAGCUAGUAGGUGAGGUAAAGGCUCACCUAGGCGACGAUCCGUAGCUGGUCUGAGAGGACGACCAGCCACACUGGAACUGAGACACGGUCCAGACUCCUACGGGAGCAGCAGUGGGGAAUUUUGGACAAUGGGCGCAAGCCUGAUCCAGCCAUGCCGCGUGAGUGAAGAAGGCCUCGG